UGGUAUUAACCAGAGCCAAUGGCAACACGUGGAUAAUUGCGGACCAAUUAGAAAUGUCACAGAUACUCUCACCAAAAUAGCUCAGGUAAUCGUAAGUGAAGAAAACGCAGGUGAAGUGAGCCAGCAAGUAUCAUCUGUUACUUCCAACAUCGAAGAUAUCACAUCAGAUGACAUCACGUUUGUGGCAAAGAUAACAUCACAAAUUGUGCAGCAAAAUCUUACAAGUGAAGAGGUAACGGAGUCUAUAACGAGUAUUGCGAGCAAUAUAGCUCAGGUAGAAACAGAGGAACUUGUAGCUGCUGAGGAAGAC